rnacentral:lncRNA from 1 species
UUUUGACCACCAGAGUAACUAGGGCCUAAAGGCAAUAGCUUGACCUACAGGAGGGGCUGGAGCCAAAAGAUCAGCCAUGUGGGCAGUAUGUGGUUGAGCCCCAUGAAAACUCUGGACCCCAAAGGCUUGACUGAGCCUCCCUGGUUGGUAAUUCUCUGUGCAUUGCCACACAUUAUGGCCUGGAGGUGGUGAUGCUGUGCAUGCCCCCACAGGACAAGGAUGACCAGAAGCUCUGUGUGUGGACUGCUCCCAGACUCCGCCAUAUUUUAACCUGUAUCCUGUCCCUGUGUGCUCUGCUUGAGCAUAACAGCUGUCAGUGAUUUCUGUGCCCACCUAAUCCUAACCUUGCCCAUAGCUGAGGAUUGUUCCAUUCUGGAAACACUGGUGGAACUCAUGGUGCCAGACACCAGGCCUAGUGCUAGAAGCACAAAGCUGGACAAGACAUGGUCCCUACUUUCAGAAGCUCAGAGUCGUGUAAAUCUUACCAUUUGUCUGCCAGAGAUUGAUGGGUACUUAACUGUUUACAACCGUGAUGAGAACAGAGAGUGGAAAAUACAUAUCAGUAAUUAUUAACCAAUGGCAAUUGCAGCAAAGAGAAGCUGAUUCUUACAAUUGGUGUGGGAUGUGUACUUUGAGUAAUGAGGCUAAUACUCAGAGAUGGCGUCCACAGAACACCAAGACACCUGGCCGAUUUGAUCAUUUGAAUCAAGAAAAUAUUCAGACUCAAUGAUUUUGAUGCUCUGUCAUGUAUAUUCACAUUUGUCAACUGAAAUAAAGUUCAACUUGAGAAAUAAA